CAUCCAUUCAGCCAACAACAGCAUUGACUGCUCAGGCACUGUUCUGUGUUUUGGGUGUGGUUAUGAACACAACAAACAAGAGCCUGCAGCCAUGGAGCUUCUCCUUUCUCGCCUAAUAUGUGAAGUUUUCUAAUAGCAUCUGAUAAGCUACAGAGAUCCAAGGAUAUCCUUGGCCCAGACAGGUGAUGCCUGCCUCUACUGAUCCCAAAGAGGUAAGACUGACUGAAUUGAUAUCACUCCAAAAAGACAUGCUAACUGAUAAGACUCUCUAUUCUCCUGUGUUGGACAAGGUGUUCAUC
rnacentral:lncRNA from 1 species